AGUGAACGCUGGCGGUAGGCCUAACACAUGCAAGUCGAACGGCAGCACAGUAAGAGCUUGCUCUUACGGGUGGCGAGUGGCGGACGGGUGAGGAAUACAUCGGAAUCUACUUUUUCGUGGGGGAUAACGUAGGGAAACUUACGCUAAUACCGCAUACGACCUACGGGUGAAAGCAGGGGAUCUUCGGAACUUGCGCGAUUGAAUGAGCCGAUGUCGGAUUAGCUAGUUGGCGGGGUAAAGGCCCACCAAGGCGACGAUCCGUAGCUGGUCUGAGAGGAUGAUCAGCCACACUGGAGCUGAGACACGGUCCAGACUCCUACGGGAGGCAGCAGUGGGGAAUAUUGGACAAUGGGCGCAAGCCUGAUCCAGCCAUACCGCGUGGGUGAAGAAGGCCUUCGGGUUGUAAAGCCCUUUUGUUGGGAAAGAAAAGCAGCAGGUUAAUACCCCGCUGUUCUGACGGUACCCAAAGAAUAAGCACCGGCUAACUUCGUG
rnacentral:rRNA from 1 species